UACGUAGGGCGCAAGCGUUAUCCGGAAUUAUUGGGCGUAAAGAGCGUGUAGGCGGUCCGGUAAGUCCGCUGUGAAAGUCCAGGGCUCAACCCUGGAAUGCCGGUGGAUACUGUCGGGCUAGAGUCCGGAAGAGGCGAGUGGAAUUCCUGGUGUAGCGGUGAAAUGCGCAGAUAUCAGGAGGAACACCGAUGGCGAAGGCAGGUCUCUGGGCAUUAACUGACGCUGAGGAGCGAAAGCAUGGGGAGCGAACAGG
rnacentral:rRNA from 1 species